GUUUGCAUCAAUGAAUGGCUUUAUCUUAUCGUCAUCAGCUCGAUGUGAUCUUCCAGAACGCGGUGCACCUGCAAGAUCAAAAUUGCCAGAUCGAAAUUUUUGCAAAGCAGUUUUGUCACAGGCGAUCUGUCAAUACAUCUUCUGCAUACACAUCACGUAAUUUUUUUCUUGCUUGAAAAGCAUUUUUACUUCUUCAACAGUGAAACAGCGAAAUAAGUCCAACUUGCUGACAUUCUAUAUUUUAAAGGACACCAACCAACAAUUACCGCGUACAAUCAAUCGAACUUUUUCACAAGCAAGCCUUGCUGCAUCUGUUGUCAUAAUAUAUACUGAUUAUGCAGCUCAAGUUUGAAGUUAGAAGUAGAAAGUAUACAAUAAUUUCAAAGUUGGGAAAAAAAAACAAAUUUACUUUCUGAGCAAUCUAAUGUUUUGAAUAAAUUAGAGCGCUUAGAGUAGGCUCCCAAUGCUUGAAUGUAAGGCCUCUGUGUUACUUUCAUUCCUCCUGUUACUUCCAUUCAUUCAUUCAGUCCUUAGACCCAGAGGUAAUGAUUUAUAGGAGCAGUUUGAGGGGGUUAGUAUUACGACGCGAGAGGUAAAAUUGUUGGGUCGUCUUAACACUAACUUAAGCGAAAACAUUUGCAAAAGAAGGGCGAUCAGAUACCGUUCUAUUUCAAAACGUAAACGAUGCUAGCCAGCAAUUGGGAGAGGCUACUGUUAUAGCUCUCCAAAUCGCCUCCCGGAAGUGCAAAGCUUUUGGGCUGCGGAGGAAGUAUGGUUGCAAAGCUGAAAUUUAAAGGAAUGGACGGAAGAGUACCACCAGGACUGGGGUCUUAAUUUGACCCAAUGCGGGAAAACUAACCAGUUUUGAACCUCGAGUAGUUUUGAUAAACCUUCGAUGUUUUGUAAGAAGUAUAGACGUCGCUUCUCUCGCUUCGUUCGCUUGUUAUUUGUCGCGUGAGUACUCCAUCACGA
rnacentral:ncRNA from 1 species